UACAGAGGUCUCAAGCGUUGUUCGGAUUCAUUGGGCGUAAAGGGUGCGUAGGUGGCGAGGUUAGUCAGGUGUGAAAUCUCGGGGCUCAACCCCGAAACUGCACUUGAUACUGCCUUGCUCGAGUACUGGAGAGGAGAUUGGAAUUUACGGUGUAGCAGUGAAAUGCGUAGAUAUCGUAAGGAAGACCAGUGGCGAAGGCGAAUCUCUGGACAGUUACUGACACUGAGGCACGAAGGUCAGGGGAGCAAACGGG
rnacentral:rRNA from 1 species